AGUGAACGCUGGCGGUAGGCCUAACACAUGCAAGUCGAACGGCAGCACAGUAAGAGCUUGCUCUUACGGGUGGCGAGUGGCGGACGGGUAAGGAAUAAAUCGGAAUCUACUUUUUCGUGGGGGAUAACGUAGGGAAACUUACGCUAAUACCGCAUACGACCUACGGGUGAAAGCAGGGGAUCUUCGGACCUUGUGCGAUUGAAUGAGCCGAUGUCGGAUUAGCUAGUUGGCGGGGUAAAGGCCCACCAAGGCGACGAUCCGUAGCUGGUCUGAGAGGAUGAUCAGCCACACUGGAACUGAGACACGGUCCAGGCUCCUACGGGAGGCAGCAGUGUGGAAUAUUAGACAAUGGGCGCAAGCCUGAUCCAGCCAUACCGCGUGGGUGAAGAAGGCCUUCGGGUUGUAAAGCCCUUUUGUUGGGAAAGAAAAGCAGCAGGUUAAUACCCCGCUGUUCUGACGGUACCCAAAGAAUAAGCACCGGCUAACUUCGUG
rnacentral:rRNA from 1 species